GCACCGUGCACUGCCAGAUGACAGUCUGCCUCAUGGACAGCAGCAGCUGAGCUCAGCCUCGUGUCUCUGGUGGCAUCAUCGGAAGGUAGCCUAGCUGGCCUGUUGAGUUGAGACCACCAGACUGCUAACCAACAGCAGCAUGGCACGAAAGUACGGAACAGGCAUCAACAACAGUCAGCGGUUGACAACCAAACGAGGCAGGACUCAGCUAGCGCUAUCAACCCGUUCCUGGACCAACAGAUAUAUCCCAGUCAAGAGCAGAGGGGCCCAAACAGUCACAUCUGUAGUUUUUCCCUCGGACCCUUCAGGGGGAUAGAAGACGAGGCUUCAUGAAAGAGUGGUGUAUCUUGAGGUAGCUCCUUUCUGAGAACCUCUUCCCGCAGUGCAAACAGGAAAACGGCCUCUCUUCCGUGUGGACCUUCAGGUGCAUCUUCAGGUUGCCAGCCUGGGCAAAGCACAUAUGACACCGGGGGCAGCUGAAAGGCUGGGAGUGGGUCGCGACAUUUGGAUUUGUCUCUAAGCUUUCCCUGUAAUCUAAGAAAUAUCUGCCUUGUGAGUGUCCUUCAUCUAAGUGAGUCUCAUCGAUAUUCCAUGUCAGAGGCCCGUCGCCCUCCACUUUCACGUCAUCUACCACUAGAUCCUCCCCAUUCUUAUCUAGGCACCCUUCAGAGUGUAUACUACUGUACUGGUUCCAGUCCCCUCUAGACAGAUCAGUCUGUGUCUCUAAACCCAAGGGCAUGUUGCCAGGGUCCAUCUCUGUAGUGGAAGAACAAGACAGAUCAUUGCCAGUCUCUAACACAUAACCUGAGUCCCGAUGGGAAUGAACCAUCCUCGGGCUCGUAAUACCGUAAAACAAAUACUCUGAGCCGGGAGCAGGAGCACACCCCAGUGGUCCCAACUCCAGUCUCUCUGGGUCUGAUCUGUGGUCAGGUCCUGUGUGUAAGAGCCUGUGUGUCACAAUUAAAUUCUCGCUUUCUGUCUCUGACUCGAGGACGGCGUUCAGCGUUCCACUGACCUCCAUGAUGCUGCAUCGGUUCUUAGGCUGGGGCGGGGCAGCAGGGUCCUCCGUGGCUAAAGGGGGCACCACUCCAGCCACUA